AUACGUAGGUGGCAAGCGUUGUCCGGAAUUAUUGGGCGUAAAGCGCGCGCAGGCGGUUCUUUAAGUCUGAUGUGAAAGCCCACGGCUCAACCGGGGAGGGUCAUUGGGAACUGGGGGACUUGAGUGCAGCAGAGGAAAGUGGAAUUCCAAGUGUAGCGGUGAAAUGCGUAGAGAUUUGGAGGAACACCGGUGGCGAAGGCGACUUUCUGGUCUGAAACUGACGCUGAGGCGCGAAAGCGUGGGGAGCAAACAGGAUUAGAUACCCUGGUAGUCCACGCCGUAAACGAUGAGUGCUAAGUGUUGGGGGGUUUCCGCCCCUUAGUGCUGCAGCUAACGCAUUAAGCACUCCGCCUGGGGAGUACGGUCGCAAGACUGAAACUCAAAGGAAUUGACGGGG
rnacentral:rRNA from 1 species